ACCAGACUCCUACGGGAGGCAGCAGUGGGGGAUAUUGCACAAUGGGGGGAACCCUGAUGCAGCGACGCCGCGUGGGUGAAGAAGCGCCUCGGCGCGUAAAGCCCUGUCAGCAGGGAAGAAAAUGACGGUACCUGAAGAAGAAGCCCCGGCUAACUACGUGCCAGCAGCCGCGGUAAUACGUAGGGGGCAAGCGUUAUCCGGAUUUACUGGGUGUAAAGGGGGCGCAGACGGCGAUGCAAGCCAGGAGUGAAAGCCCGGGGCCCAACCCCGGGACUGCUCUUGGAACUGCGUGGCUGGAGUGCAGGAGGGGCAGGCGGAAUUCCUGGUGUAGCGGUGAAAUGCGUAGAUAUCAGGAGGAACACCGGUGGCGAAGGCGGCCUGCUGGACUGCAACUGACGUUGAGGCCCGAAAGCGUGGGGAGCAAACAGGAUUAGAUACCCUGGUAGG
rnacentral:rRNA from 1 species